AACGAACGCUGGCGGCGUGCUUAACACAUGCAAGUCGAACGCGAAAGGGAGCAAUCCCGAGUAGAGUGGCGCACGGGUGAGUAACACGUGGGUAAUCUGCCCUCGAGUGGGGGACAACGUCCCGAAAGGGCGCUAAUACCGCAUAACCCGACGGGGACCCUGGUCCCUGCCGGCAAAGAUGGCCUCUGCUUGCAAGCUAUCGCUUGAGGAGGAGCCCGCGCCCCAUUAGGUAGUUGGUGAGGUAAUGGCUCACCAAGCCUGCGAUGGGUAGCCGGCCUGAGAGGGUGGCCGGCCACACUGGCACUGAGAUACGGGCCAGACUCCUACGGGUGGCUG
rnacentral:rRNA from 1 species